GACGAGUGGCGAACGGGUGAGUAACNCGUAUACAAUCUACCUUUAACUGAGGNAUAGCCCAGAGAAAUUUGGAUUAAUACCUCAUAGUAUUAUNNUAAGGAAUCUUAUUAUAAUUAAAACUCCGGUGGUUAAAGAUGAGUAUGCGUUCUAUUAGUUNGUUGGUNAGGUAACGGCUCACCAAGNCUACGAUAGAUAGGGGGCCUGANAGGGUGAUCCCCCACACUGGUACUGAGACACGGACCAGACUCCUACGGGAGGCAGCAGUGAGGAAUAUUGCGCAAUGGAGGAAACUCUGANGCAGCCAUACCGCGUGUAGGAAGAAUGUCCUAUGGAUUGUAAACUNCUUUUAUACAAGAAGAAACCNCAGUACGUGUACUGGGCUGACGGUAUUGUAAGAAUAAGCACCGGCU
rnacentral:rRNA from 1 species